CCCAGGUAUCGCGAUAGUUUAGGUGCGUGUUUACGUUACUUCGAGGAGCGCGCGAACAUGAGAAGUCGCCUCAGAAAUUUAUCCAAGAGAGUUACGAUAAGAGUCAGUGGUCUUGGCUUCACCACUGUGGUGUGUGACGGCCUGGGGAACCACCAACGUGGAGCUGUCCUCCUUCAAUAAACACUCAUCGCCCCUGCCUCACGGGUGUGAAAUUAUAAGCUCCUCGGACUCCCUCAUUCACAUUUUACAAGACUCCAGCAGCUUGUCAGUCCUUGAUCAGUCCAGGCUUUCAUUGCAUGGAAAAGAGCAGCAUGAACCUCCUUCAAAAAUGCUUUGGACCAACAUGAGGUUCAGAGACGCCAACGGACGACGCUCCCUGUGUUACACGGGUUGCUUGGAAACCGGCGCAUUGGGAGCGUAUAGUGCAACACACAGAGGCACAGGAUGCAGUACACACAGAAAAACACGCGCUCAAAGCCCACGUGUGGACAGCAUCCUCCAGACGCUCAUGAAGAUGUCCCACGGAUUUCUGCUGGAUUUUACAGUGCCGGAUUUUGGCUGUCUGUUGGUUCACACAGCCCUUCGGUCACAGCGUCCCGUGGACGGAUCAGAGAUGUCAUCUGGUUGUCUCAAUUUGUGGAGUUUGGACUUUGGCCGGCCUCACCCCCUCCAGCUCAGAGGAUAAAGCCGGAUCAACAUCACAUCCCUUCUGGUAUCCAUGGGCUCGAGGAGGAUACAGACACUUCCUUUCUGCUCCGCAUCCAGUGCAAAAAAAAUAAGAUGAUGAACUGAUAAAGGUGAAAGUUGCAUUGAUGAGGUUCCUGAGGUACAACGUGUUUGCUGCUGUUGACUCCUGUAUCAUGGGUUUCCAUUAACUAAAAGCAGAAGAUUCGGGCUUUUCUUCAUCCCCUAGGGAAAUAACAGACCUUUUCAUUUCAACAACCAUCUAAUUCACCAUCCUAUUGUUAUGUCUUUAUUCUUCAUGUAUCCCUAGUUAUUUAUUUGCGUCUGUAUAUUUGUGUGCUUGUCAUAAUUACGCCCAUAACCAAAUCUCCACUCAGAGCAAGUUCUAGCUCCCUCUUUUAAUCAAAGGAUGUACUGUAAUCAGAUUUGUGGAGACGUUUUCCUAAUGAUGUUUACUUCAAACGGGUUCUAGUGGCUCCGAAAUGACUCAUAAUGAUCCUUGGCAAUAAGUUAUAUUAUAGAGGAAAUUGAGACUUUAAAGAGCCAUUUCAGAGAAUGGGCUUUCUGUAUUAAUCACUGACUUUGUUAAAGCAUAGCUUCCAGAGAAAUGAGCUGUCAGUCCUCCACUCCUGAACACUAAUGGUGGACGCCGCCGCAUAAAGUGUUCAAAGUGUGUUAUUCUAAAGAGCCGUUUCCAUCAUUUAGCUUUUCUCAUUAAGACAGUUUAAUAUGUUUUUGUUUCCUUCAUUUAUAUUCAGGGUUUUUUUGUGCACAGACUGAUGGGUCCUUCUGGCUGUGGCCUUGGAAAGUCAUAGGAGGAUUUACUGAAAGUUUUGCAGGGAUGCAGUGAAGGAAAAGAUCUAUGAGGAAGAUUGUUAUGGAAAAUUAAUCUACAUAUCAGAAAUGCUGUACUGGUUAAUAUCAAGCAGGCCCUUUUAUUUCUGGUUUUAACAUCUGUUAAUGCGUCUCCUGUUAUUUUGAGGGACACUGAUUUCAUAACUAUACAUUAGCCACUAUUUGCAUGUCGAUAAAGCACAUGUCCACAGGCACAGCCUUGAUCCCAAAUAUACUUUUUAUCCUCAAGUAUAUAUAUACUUCUUAAAUCGAGUGUGUGCAUUAUUAGUUAUUAGCAUUAUUUAAACAUGUAGAAAUCCUCA